rnacentral:rRNA from 1 species
GACGAACGCUGGCGGCGUGCUUAACACAUGCAAGUCGAACGGAAAGGCCCUGCUUUGGUGUGGUGCUCGAGUGGCGAACGGGUGAGUAACACGUGAGUAACCUGCCCUUGACUUUGGGAUAACUUCAGGAAACGGCGUCUAAUACCGGAUAGGAGCUCCUACGGCAUGUUGAGGGGUGGAAAGUUUCUGCGGUUGGGGAUGGACUCGCGGCUUAUCAGCUUGUUGGUGGGGUAGUGGCUUACCAAGGCUUUGACGGGUAGCCGGCCUGAGAGGGUGACCGGCCACACUGGGACUGAGAUACGGCCCAGACUCCUACGGGAGGCAGCAGUGGGGAAUAUUGCACAAUGGGCGGAAGCCUGAUGCAGCAACGCCGCGUGCGGGAUGACGGCCUUCGGGUUGUAAACCGCUUUCGCCUGUGACGAAGCGUGAGUGACGGUAAUGGGUAAAGAAGCACCGGCUAACUACGUG